GAUGAACGCUGGCGGCGUGCUUAACACAUGCAAGUCGAACGGAAAGGCGCGGCUCUUGCUGGGCGCUCGUGUGGCGCGCGGGUGUGAAACACGUGAGUAUCCCCCCCCUGACUGUGUGGUAACUCGAGGGAACUGGGGCUAAUACCGGAGAGGAGCUCCUGAAGCAGGGGGGGGGUUGGAAAGAGUCGGCUGUUGGGGAUGGACUCGCGGUUUACCAGCUGGUUGGUGGGGUAGUCACUUACCAGGCCUUCGAGGGGUAGCCGGCCUGGGCGACGGAUCGGCCACACUGGAGCGGAGACACGCACCAUACUCCUACGGGAGGCAGCAGUCGGGAAUGUUCGGCAACGGGGGGAAAUCUUACGCAGCCAGGCCGCGUGUGAUACGACGGCGUCCGGUUCGUAAAGACCGCUUUCUGGGGAAGAACCGCUUUGGCCUUAAACGCGGCGGGAGUGACGGUACUGGAUAAAAAAGCACCGGCUAACUACGUG
rnacentral:rRNA from 1 species